rnacentral:rRNA from 1 species
GUAGGGAAUAUUGGGCAAUGGAAGGAAUUCUGACCCAGCCAUGCCGCGUGCAGGAAUACAGUCCUAUGGACUUUAAACUGCUUUUAUUAUAGAGUAACCUGGGGGACGUGUCCCCCACUGCAAGUAUAUAAUGAAUAAGCAUCGGCUAACUCCGUGCCAGCAGCCGCGGUAAUACGGGGGAUGCAAGCGUUAUCCGGCUUUAUUGGGUUUAAAGGGUGCGCAGGCUGAUCGGUAAGUCAUGGGUGAAAAGUCACUGCUUAACAGUGAUCGUGCCUAGGAUACUGCCGGACUAGAGUUUAAGAGGUGUAACUGGAAUGUGAUGUGUAGCGGUGAAAUGCUUAGAUAUGUCACAGAACGCCAAUCGUGAAGACAGGUUACAAACUUAAUACUGACGCUCAUGCACGAAAGCGUGGGGAUCAAACAGGAUUAGAAACCCCUGUAGUCC